UCGGCUGUAGCUCAAUGGGAGAGCGCAGGUUUGUGGCACCUGAGACGAAGGGUUCGAUCCCCUCCAGCCGGUCCA
rnacentral:tRNA from 1 species